GACUAAGCCAAAUGUGAUUUGACUCACCUAAAGAAUCUUGAGAAGGUUUCUCUCAAUCUGACUGGAGUCAAUUUAGCUCAGAAAAGGCUUGUCUUAAUUCAUGAGAUGGAUUAAAGACAACACCUGCUAAUUCCUGACACCUGCCAUUUUCAUUUUAGGAUAUCUAUCAAAUGUUGACAUAUGGUUCUUAAACUGAAGGCC
rnacentral:lncRNA from 1 species